CUGCAUGCCAAGCACUGUUAAGAGCUUUGCAUAUUGUAGGGGCCCAGUGUGCAAUGGCUGCAAACAGCAACCUCCUCAGUAGUGUACACAGCCUGUUGCUUGUAUGGGUUGCCCUAGGGGACCUUGGAGACAGUC